UACGGAGGGGGCUAGCGUUGUUCGGAAUUACUGGGCGUAAAGCGCGCGUAGGCGGCUUUGUAAGUUAGAGGUGAAAGCCCAGGGCUCAAUCCUGGAAUUGCCUUUAAGACUGCAUCGCUUGAACAUCGGAGAGGUAAGUGGAAUUCCGAGUGUAGAGGUGAAAUUCGUAGAUAUUCGGAAGAACACCAGUGGCGAAGGCGACUUACUGGACGAUUGUUGACGCUGAGGUGCGAAAGCGUGGGGAGCAAACAGG
rnacentral:rRNA from 1 species